AACGAACGCUGGCGGCAGGCCUAACACAUGCAAGUCGAACGCUCGUAGCAAUACGGGAGUGGCAGACGGGUGCGUAACGCGUGGGAACAUACCCUUUGGUUCGGAAUAACUCAGGGAAACUUGAGCUAAUACCGGAUACGCCCGAGAGGGGAAAGAUUUAUUGCCGAAGGAUUGGCCCGCGUCUGAUUAGCUAGUUGGUGAGGUAACGGCUCACCAAGGCGACGAUCAGUAGCUGGUCUGAGAGGAUGAUCAGCCACACUGGGACUGAGACACGGCCCAGACUCCUACGGGAGGCAGCAGUGGGGAAUAUUGGACAAUGGGCGCAAGCCUGAUCCAGCCAUGCCGCGUGAGUGAUGACGGCCUAGGGUUGUAAAGCUCUUUUACCCGGGAAGAUAAUGACGGUACCGGGAGAAUAAGCCCCGGCUAACUUCGUGCCAGCAGCCGCGGUAAU
rnacentral:rRNA from 1 species